CCUACGGGUGGCUGCAGUGGGGAAUAUUGGACAAUGGGGGAACCCUGAUCCAGCGACGCCGCGUGAGUGAAGAAGUAUUUCGGUAUGUAAAGCUCUAUCAGCAGGGAAGAAAAUGACGGUACCUGACUAAGAAGCCACGGCUAACUACGUGGCAGCAGCCGCGGUAACACGUAGGGGGCAAGCGUUAUCAGGAUUUACUGGGGGGAAAGGGAGCGUAGACGGUGCAACAAGUCGGAUGUGAAAGGUCGGUGCCCAACCCCGGGACGGCAUUGGAAACUGUUGAACUGGAGUAUAGGAGAGGUAAGCGGAAUUCAUAGUGUAGCGGUGAAAUGCGUAGAUAUUAGGAGGAACACCAGUGGCGAAGGCGGCUUACUGGACUGUAACUGACGUUGAGGCUCGAAAGCGUGGGGAGCAAACAGGAUUAGAUACCCCAGUAGUC
rnacentral:rRNA from 1 species